rnacentral:rRNA from 1 species
CAGUCGUGCAGUCAUCAACUCAGCGGGUAGCGUAGGUAAUUUAUUGCUUACGUUUUCCGUGUACUUUGUUGUCUGCUGGUUAGCAUCAAUUUUGAUUGUCAUAAAAAGGUUAAGGGGAUGUGGCUCCUUCGGGAGUGUUAUAACCCUUAGCGGAAUGUGGCGAUUGGGAUUGAGGAUUGCAACGAAUACCUUUAGGGCUGUUCCACCUGGCCUCUCGUUGGUAUCCUGGCGGCGACAGCUUGCUGACGUCGUUAGGAUUCGCCUUCGAACAGGCUAGAGUGUGAGCAAA